rnacentral:lncRNA from 1 species
CAUACUUUAAUUAGAAUUGUAACAUUUUAAUGGGAACAGAAUUCCUUUUAGACUGGUGUUAAUCUUCGUAGCUGAUCCAAUUUAGACUUUGGGUUUGUUUAACUUCAGACCGGGACCCGCAUUAACCUCAGCAUGCAGAAGUGAGUCUUCUCAAUAAGAGUCACUCUGUCACACCCCGUCUUGUCUCCCCAUUCUGUUUAGUCAUGUGUCUCUGUUAAUUGCUCCCACCUGCCUCUCGUUUUCCAAUCACCCAAGCUCCCAGCCCUCAUGUAUUUAAACCCCUUCAGUCCUGUGUCUCUGUUAAUUGCUCCCACCUGCCUCUCGUUUUCCAAUCACCCAAGCUCCCAGCCCUCAUGUAUUUAAACCCCUUCAGUCCUGUGUCUCUUGUUGGUUCAUUGUUUCCAUGUCCUGCGUGCUUGAUAUUAAAACUAUUGUAAAACCGUUCCUACCUGUCUGCCUGCCUUCCUCACCUGCGUGAGGAUCCUCACCUCAUCUCCGCUUCGCUCACCGGCACGUGUGUGACACAGUCCUUAAAACAAUAUGACUCACCGAUCAGUAUUAGUUACUGAUCAAUCCGAGUCAUUGCUAAAUCGAGUCACUGAAUGAUACUAGUCACUGAUCAAUAGGAGGCACUGCUUAAUACAAGUCAAUGAUCAAAACUAGUCACAAAUCAAUACGAGUCACUACCCCAUGUGAAUUACAGCUCAACAUGAGUCACUGAUCAAUGAGAGUCACUGCUAAAUACGAGUCAUGAAUCAACAUGAGUCACUGCUAAAUAUUAGUCACUGAUCAAUACGUGUCACUGAUCAAUUAAAAUCACUGCUAAAACUGAGUCACUGAUCAGUACUAGUCAUGGGUCAAUAUAAGUCACUGCUAAAUAUGAGUCACUGUCCAAUAUGAGUCACAGCUAAACAUGAGUCACUGAUCAAUGAGUCACAAAUCAAGUCACUGCUAAAUAUGAUUCACUGAUCAAUAUGAGUCACUCAUCAAUAAAAGUCAGUGCUAAAAACGAGUCACUGAUUAAUACUAGUCAUUGAUCAAUAGGAAUCACUGCUAAAUAAGUCAUUGAUCAAUAUGAUGCACUGCGAAAUACGAGUCAUGGAUCAAUACUAAUCACUGAUCAAUAUGAGUUACUGAUCAAUAGGAGUCAUUGCUAAAUAAGAGUCAUUGAUCAAUAUGAUGCACUGCUAAAUACGAGUCAUGGAUCAAUACUAAUCACUGAUCAAUAUGAGUUACUGAUCAAUAGGAGUCACUGCUAAAAACGAGUAUUUGUUCAAUAGGAGUCACUGAUCAAUACUGAUCAACAAGAGUCACUGCUGAAUACGAUUGGUGAAUAUGAGUCACUGAUUAAUACGAGUCACAUUGUUUA